AUGAUUUUGGUCCCGCCUUUGGACUCCAUACCAGGCCGAGCUUUGGUGCGCUGGGUUCCCCGCCUCCGUGACAGCAACGCCAGGAGUCCCCGUUGCAGAAUGUUUUCAGCUAUACUUUGGUUACCUAGCAUGCUUGGGAACAGUGGAUGGGACACAGCAAGGAGGAAAAAGAAAUAAAUGAAAGCUGCUUGACAAAGUUUAAACCUUAUGUCCACAACAGACUGCGUGUUACCAUGACUCAGCAAGGAUGUUUCUAGCGCAAGAAAAUGAACUGUAAAGAGGGGAGAAAAACACUUGACUUCACUCCUUUUCCCAUCUCUUUACUCAUGACUUCAAAGAAUACCUGAAGAACAUGAAUUAAGCGGGAGAGGUCUCAGGCUGAAAGGAAACCCAGCCUGUGAAAUUUACUGCAGUGUAUGGUGAAGAAAACCUUCACUUUGAAUUCUGUUACUUUGUUAAGUUUGCCAUUAUCUUGUGUUCUAUCUUUUAUUUCUUUUGUAACCAGUCCUGACUUUUAUGCAUCAUUACUUGUAAUCACUUAAAAUCUAUCUUUCUGUAGUUAAUAAAUUUAGCACUUAUACAAGUACAUACACAGCUCCUGUCACAUUUGCUCUGCUCCUUCACUUGUUACUAGACACUGAAAGUAACUAUCAGAAGUCAAGAGCUCUGGUAUGUCUACCACAACCAAUCUGUA